GGUUGGGUGAGUCCCUGGAGAGGUGAGGGCCUUGGAACCCAAUCCAUCCUGCAGAGAUUUUCAUGCUGAAGGCCUGGCUUGAUGGAGGGUCUGCGGUGGAAGGUCAUUGUGAGGAGCGCCUCUUAGUGUCAGCUUUAAUUCACACCGUAACCCAAGCCACGAUGCCUCCCAACGAUCCGUGCCGCCUGCCUGGCUCUCAGUUGGCCCUUGGAGAGCUGAAGCUGCAAUACUCCCUAACAAAACUGCGCCCGUGGGACGACUUUACAAGAAAAGUGAUGCACAUCCUCACAUGGUUAUGGGAGGGAACUGUCAGAAAGCGGAUCCAUUUUCAGACACGGCACACUCCGGUGAACAUGCUCACAAGAUCAAAGCGGCCUCUUUGCCUACCGCAGCGCAUCCCCAGCAGAUCUGACAAAGUGGCCCCAUUGUGUGACCCCCACCCGUUCCCGAGAAUGGAUGCCCGAGCAGUGCAUCGGCAUGUUGAUGACACUCUCAAACAGAUUAUACAAAUUGAAGUGUAUAUCUUUUUUUUUUUUGCAUCAGUGUAUCUCCCAAAUUGCGAGUUUUGAUCUUGCUGACAUUUUUCAACAAUUGUCAUCACCGGAAUAAUGCCAGGAGCAGAAGAACUACAUUUUUCAUUUUCCAGCCGUUGUCCAAAGUGUUCCCGAACAACAAGUUCUGAUCAUUUCAUACCAGGAUAAGACAUGACAAUACAUAACCAUAAAUGACAUUUUUCUCUCUCUGACAUUAGUUCAAGGAUGAUUUCAAUGGUGUUCGGGUGGGACUUUCUCACACCGGACCGUACACAUAAACAUUUACACACACACACACACACACACGCUGUAGUCUUCUACUGUUCUACUUUCUCGUCAGUCGCCUCAGGCAUGUUCUCAACUCCGCCCUCCUCAUAAUUACUUUAGUGAUCAAGGUUAGAGCAGUAGUAAAGCGCUCUAACCUUUUAACCUUAUGCGAACUCUGCCAUUAGUGCCCCCCGGAAGCAGAUUCUUGGUGUCAAACGUCGUCGUCCGGGACGAGCCUCGCGUGAGUGUUGCCACGAAGCUAAGCGACACGCGGGUCUGCUUGACGUCCGUGCGACUCAGACGCGGCAUCGGAGACAGAGGCGGCGCGAGGGGGUCAAAAAUGCAGCGUUAGCGAGCGCUCCCCUCCUUGGCGGACCCCCGCCUGGGUUUACAGAAACACGACAGACUCCCACAAGGCUCCCCGAGGGCUCCUCCAGAAAGCUCAGGAAUUCAGGAGAGGGAUUGGACUGGGUCUACAGCUGGUUCACGCUCUCAUUGUCUGGACCUUCCGUCCCAGUCCUCCCUGUCUGGCUCCCUUGUCUUCCCAGCUCAAUGUUUUGAUAUUGUUUUUGCUCGAGGGCAAGGUUCACAUGGGUUGUGACAUCCGAGUUUGACGGGAAAUGAAUUGCAAACAGUGAUCGUAAUGGAGGUGAGAAUUUAGGCCACGGUCGACUCGGGCAGACAAAUAUUGAGCUAAAUAUUGCCUUUUGUUAUGAGCAACAAUGCUAAUCAUAUUGCUUUCCCCGCCCCCCCCACAGUGUUGCGCAAUAAUCAUCACAUUACAUUACAGUACCUGAUUAGUUUUCUGGCUGUAAAUGUUACGAAGCAACAGCACCAAAGAGUUUUCCAAACAUUUUCUGAUGUUACUGUUGCCAGUGAGAGGCCUCGGUGGAGGCAUUGGCCUGCUAAAUGAUUGGUCCAGUGGACUGCUGUCUUUUUUACACUCUGAUGCUCUUUGCGGAGUGCAGUACUCGGAUUAUUUUCGAGGGGGCAGUGUUGAGCUGAGAGAAACUGACAAGUCUAGCACAGCUGCAUCACUGUUGACUUCACUCAAAGCAAAACUAAUGAUCCAUUUAUUGAUAGUUCUUUAAGUGGAUAUUUCAAAAGCAUCUGAAUUUGCUACACUGUUUAUAUUCAUUUAAAAAAUAUUUUUUUAUGAUAAUAUAAAACUAAAGAGGACUUGCUUUUAUAGAAAAGUUUUGUUUGUGCACUGAAGCAUGGUGUGGUCAUAUUGCAGGGCAUAUUUAG